CAGUCAGUAAAUGGGCUAAUGAUUGAGCAAGACAGUCCUCAAAUUGCCAAUAAAUAUUUUAAAAGUGCAUGCCAGAGUAACGGAGAGACUUUGACAGCCCAGGUUAUCACAGUGCCUGCUGUUGCCACUCAGCUCUCCUAUAUGU
rnacentral:snoRNA from 14 species